UACAGAGGGUGCGAGCGUUAAUCGGAAUUACUGGGCGUAAAGCGCACGUAGGUGGCGACGUAAGUCGGGUGUGAAAGCCCCGGGCUCAACCUGGGAAUUGCAUUCGAGACUGCAUUGCUGGAGUACGGAAGAGGAAGGCGGAAUUCCCGGUGUAGCGGUGAAAUGCGUAGAUAUCGGAAGGAACAUCAGUGGCGAAAGCAACUUCCUGGACCAAUACUGACGCUCAUGUGCGAAAGCGUGGGGAGCAAACAGG
rnacentral:rRNA from 1 species